GGCCCCAUCGUCUAGCGGUUAGGACUCGAGAUUUUCGAUCUCGCAGCAGGGGUUCGAUUCCCCUUGGGGUCA
rnacentral:tRNA from 1 species